CGUCAGCUGAUCCUCCACUGAACUGAGAAGCUUUAUAGUCCUGUGACUCCAACUCUGCAGGACUCAGACCCGUCAGUCGACCACAACCACCAUGACUCUCAUCACCCUCCUCAUCUGGACGCUGGCCUGCUGCAGCUUCACAGGAUGCAGCGGCCAGAUGACUGUGACUCAGCCUCCAGUCGUGACAUUUACUCCAGGAUCCACUGUCACGCUGACCUGUAAAACCAAACCCAGUGUUUAUACGAGUAGUUCUGGUGAUCGUAUAUCCUGGUACCAGCAGAAACCCGGACAGGCUCCCAAGCUUCUUAUAUACUAUACAUCAACUCUACAUUCAGGAACUCCCUCUCGAUUCAGUGGCAGUGGCUCUGGUUCUAGCUUCACCUUAACCAUCAGAGGUGUUCAGGCCGAAGAUGUUGGAGAUUAUUACUGUCUCGGUGAUUUUGGCAGUGGAGUGUCCACACAGUGAUUUAGAGUCGUACAAAAACCUCCCUCAGUUUGACUGAAGUGAAACUGGUCUGCUGCAGCUGCACAGAGAAUAACUGGUCCAGUGAACACAACACAAGUCUUCAAGCAGAGCGACAAUGAAGCUAAACACAACUGAAACAAACUCACAGUUUUAAAUGUUCAGAAAUCUCCAAACAAAGCCCCAUGCAACCAACUUUGUCAUUUUAGAUUUUUAGUUGAAGAAUAGAACGUCUAAAUGUGUGUGUAAGAUGAGCCUGAGGUGGUGGUGGGGGGGUUGAACAUAAACUUUAUUACUUCACUAUCAUUUACGUGGAUGCACAGGUCUGCACUUUUUAAUUUUGAUGAUAAAAUAUUUGUUUGAAGAUUGUAAUGAUGUGGUUCAUGUGUUUCUUUGUAGGGGGGUGUUUGGGUCAAUGUAGGCUCCCCAGGUCCCUUUUGCCUGAGGCCCCUAAAGUCCCUUGAAACGCCCCUGGAGUCCCACAAAUGAGUUUUCAUGGUGAUUCUCUGGCGGAGCAGUGAACGCUGCGUUGACCGGCCGAGUUGCACGUGUUGUAAACGGAGCUGUAUCGUAAAAAACCUGCCUCAACUAGUUGCUCUACAGAAUGAGUUCUAACAGAAAACUACAAUAAACACAGAGAA